rnacentral:rRNA from 1 species
GACGAACGCUGGCGGCGUGCUUAACACAUGCAAGUCGAGCGGUAAGGCCCUUUCGGGGGUACACGAGCGGCGAACGGGUGAGUAACACGUGGGUGACCUGCCUUUAGCUCUGGGAUAAGCCUGGGAAACCGGGUCUAAUACCGGAUAUGACUCCGCGGCGCAUGUUGUGGGGUGGAAAGCCUUGUGCGGCUGGAGAUGGGCCCGCGGCCUAUCAGCUUGUUGGUGGGGUGAUGGCCUACCAAGGCGACGACGGGUAGCCGGCCUGAGAGGGCGACCGGCCACACUGGGACUGAGACACGGCCCAGACUCCUACGGGAGGCAGCAGUGGGGAAUCUUGCGCAAUGGGGCGAAAGCCUGACGCAGCGACGCCGCGUGAGGGAUGACGGCCU